UACGGAAGGCAGCAGUGGGGAAUAUUGCACAAUGGGCGAAAGCCUGAUGCAGCUAUGCCGCGUGUAUGAAGAAGGCCUUAGGGUUGUAAAGUACUUUCAUCGGGGAGGAAAAAACAAAACUAAUAAUUUUAUUUCUUGACGUUACCCGAAAAAGAAGCACCGGCUAACUCCGUGCCAGCAGCCGCGGUAAUACGGAGGGUGCUAGCGUUAAUCAGAAUUACUGGGCGUAAAGAGCACGUAGGUGGUUUUUUAAGUCAGAUGUGAAAUCCCUGGGCUUAACCUGGAACUGCAUUUUGAAACUGAAAUACUAGAGUAUCGUAGAGGGAGGUAGAAUUCUAGGUGUAGCGGUGAAAUGCGUAGAUAUCUGGAGGAAUACCUGUGGCGAAAGCGGCCUCCUAAACGAAUACUGACACUGAGGUGCGAAAGCGUGGGGAGCGAAACAGGGAUUUAGAUACC
rnacentral:rRNA from 1 species